GACGAACGCUGGCGGCGUGCCUAACACAUGCAAGUUGAGCGACGAACCAGGGCUUGCCCUGGGGCAAAGCAGCGAACGGGUGAGUAACACGUGGGUAACCUACCCCGAUAACCGGGACAACCCGAGGAAACUCGGGCUAAUACCGGAUGUGCUCACUGGACUUCGGUUCAGUGCGUAAAGGAAGCUUCGGCCUCCGUAUCGGGAGGGGCCCGCGGCCCAUUAGUUUGUUGGUGAGGUAACGACUCACCAAGACCGCGAUGGGUAGCUGGUCUGAGAGGACGAUCAGCCACACUGGGACUGAGACACGGCCCAGACUCCUACGGGAGGCAGCAGUGGGGAAUCUUGCGCAAUGCGCGAAAGCGUGACGCAGCAACGCCGCGUGGGGGAAGAAGGCCUUCGGGUUGUAAACCCCUUUCAGGAGGGACGAAGGUUCGGCGGUGAAUAGCCGUCCGGACUGACGGUACCUCCACAAGAAGCCCCGGCUAACUACGUG
rnacentral:rRNA from 1 species